CCCUUAGAUGUUCUGGGCCGCACGCGUGCUACACUGAGUGGAUCAGCGGGUCAGGUUGCGCGAAAGUGUUUCCUAAUCUUGAAAUCCGCUCGUGAUGGGGAUUGACGGUUGCAAUUUUCCGUCAUGAACGAGGAAUACCUUGUAAGCGCGGGUCAUCAUCCCGCGCUGAAUACGUCCCUGCCCUUUGUACACACCGCCCGUCGCUCCUACCGAUUGAGUGGUCCGGUGAGGCUUUGGUAUCUGAGCGGAAAGAGCGUUUCGCUGUUUCUGCUCGGAAAACUCAGUCGAACCUUAUCAUUUAGAGGAAGGAGAAGUCGUAACA
rnacentral:rRNA from 1 species